ensembl:lncRNA
AGAUUUGGAGAAAGGGCUGCUAUUGAAGAAAGGAGCAGAAGGGGGAGGUACUCGCGGGAAGGUGGAGGAGCGGAUUAGCCCGGUGGCCGCUCGUGUUCCUGCUCGCGACUCCCGGAGGACAGCGCCAGGAAAAAUACACUAAUUCGCAGAAGAUGUCCAGGAAGGAUAGAUAAGCGACGCAGAAAAGCUGCUAAGUGCCAAAGAAGCAGUUCUUUCCUUUCCCCUCCCUGUAACAGGAUAGUGCGGAAGAGAGACUUAAAAUCUCAAGGGUUUUUACCUCAUUACCAAGUGCCUGACUUGACACUUGCAUUAAAUCUACAUUUCACAUUAUGACAGAUGUUGUGUUUUCUUUGAACUGAAAGGGAGGAACGUCGUUUUGGCAUUGGAAGUUACUUCAAAAGUGUUAACAUCCAACUCGAAGGUUUGCAAUCGUGAAAAGACGCACUCCAUCCAGCUAUAUGAAAGCCAUAUGAGAGCCCCGAAACGUUGAUUUGGCUUACUUGGUCCUUAAUAUGUUACACAAGGCUAUUUCUGAACCGCUGGUGAUCGCUUAAUAAAAAGUGAGAUUAAAGAGCCACGGUUUGUGCCCAGUGAGCAGUUAUCAGAGCUGAGCAGCAGAAGAAGGAAGGAAAAGAAACUACAGACACGAUUCCAUUUGCUCAGAUUCUUCCCAAAAGUGAUUAUGUGGUGUCUGAUUCAGCCUAUUAAACUGAAACUGCUUUCACAGAUGUUGGAUAUGCACUCAAACACUACUCCCUAAUCUGCUUAUUCCAAAUAAAUAAGCAACCAAACAAUAUUUUUAACAGUAGUAGGCGGUGAAGGGUAGGGACGCAACUACUGUCCCUGGGGUACUAUAGGAUUCUUAAUGUUGCCAGCGAUGUCUUCAGGACAAGGGUUUGGUUUGAUUUUUUUUUUCCAUUCUAGCAGAUUGCAUUCUGUAAACAGGCUGGAUAGCCUCACACAUUUGGAAAGCUCUGGAGACAUUAUUAAACUAGUUUGCAUUCUCUUUAACUGUACCUCUUACCACUAUUGUAUCAGUAGCUCGGCAUUAAAAAUGCAUAGCAGUGAGAUCAAAAAGCCAAAACAAAUUGUGCUGCAUCAUCCCGUGUACUGAAUCACUGCCCAACGUGCUGCUCAGCUCCAGGCAUUUGUCUGAUCUUGGUGAGAUGGGAAGCAAACUGAACAGGGUUGAACUCUGCUUCUAACCGACAUGAAAGACAGUUAUGUGCAGUACAAUUGCGUUGUGUGUAUACCUACACAUUUUUUUGUGUACCAUAUCUGUGUAGAAAUACAUGUCAGUGAGAUACUCAACGCUCAU